GACUGAGGUCAGGAUGGCUGUGGCUUCCGAGUGCCCUAUGGGACUCUCACCCUCUGAUAUGGUUUGGCUGUGUCCACACCCUACAAUUCAUCUUGAAUUGCAGCUCCCAUAAUUCCCACAUGUCGUGGGAAGGACCUGGUGGGAGUUCUAGCAUUCAUGUAGCUGUUAAAGAAUCUGCCAAUGCAGGAGAUCCAUGGACGGGAGUCCCACGGAGCUCUAAGUGACAUGGCUCACAGUGUGAACUCCAGACACGCUUUGCAGCUCAACUCCUACUGUUGAAUGGUUAGUUCUUUAUGUGAGUUUUAAGUGGCAUUAAAUCAAAUCGCUA
ensembl:lncRNA novel transcript, antisense to SIPA1L3